rnacentral:rRNA from 1 species
AGAGCGAACGCUGGCGGCAGGCUUAACACAUGCAAGUCGAGCGCCCCGCAAGGGGAGCGGCAGACGGGAGAGUAACACGUGGGAACGUACCCUUCAGUUCGGAACAACCCAGGGAAACUUGGGCUAAUACCGAAUACGUCCGUAAGGAGAAAGAUUUAUCGCUGAAGGAUCGGCCCGCGUCUGAUUAGCUAGUUGGUGAGGUAACGGCUCACCAAGGCUUUGACGGGUAGCUGGUCUGAGAGGACGACCAGCCACACUGGGACUGAGACACGGCCCAGACACCUACGGGUGGCAGCAGUCGAGAAUUUUUCUCAAUGGGGGAAACCCUGAAGGAGCGACGCCGCGUGGAGGAUGAAGGUCUUCGGGUUGUAAACUCCUGUCAUUUGGGAACAAGGCGUAGGUAUUAACUGUAUCUACGUUGAUAGUACCAGAAGAGGAAGAGACGGCUAACUCUGUGCCAGCAGCCGC